GGGCACCUGCAGGAGGAAGGGCGGAGGUAAGCCGGGGCUUCCGAGACGGGCAGAGGCAGCUGGCAUAGCAAAAGGCCGGCUUUGGGCGGGGCCCAGGAAUAACAAGUGCGGUUGAGCCACUGGACAUUCUUUCUGAGCCUGUCCUCAUCUCCAAGUCAGCAUAAGAAAGGACACACGGCUUUCUGAAGACGAGGGUGGAGCAGUGAGGCUAAGACAGAUUCUGGCUCUCAGGAAGCUGUGGACGUAGGACAGCAAUGAGGAGCCUCCGUAUUCUCCUAGAAGUGUUGGGAUUUGGCCCAGCAGGCCCUCGUCCCAGUAGAUCUAGGUCAUUGGCUCCAGGGCACUGGUGGAGGUAAAACCCCCAGAGCAGUCCGAUGUGUCUGUCUACCAGCAGGACACCUGAAAGGGUGGGGAAAUGCUCACCAGUGCCCCCUGCUGGCCCGGCCAACCCUCAAGGCUGCAGCAGCUCCCACUGACACACAGAUUAAUAGCAGCCUCUGGGUGUAAAAGUCCCCAGGAAGUACGUUCUGCUCCCCGGUACUGGUGACCUCGGGAGGCUGGGUGAAGUCACCGGCUCUGCAUCUGUGGCAUGGGGUCACUCCAGUGGCUCAUGGGGACUCUGGAGUGCGUCCCUGAGGCUGGCUGCUCUGAGCUGUCCCUCCUCCAGACCCCACUCCUCCGCUGAGGUCUUCCUUUCCCCUGCCGCACACCUGCUCUUCCCUCCCGUGACUGUUUCUGCAGCCACCUCCCCACAACUCUGCAACAGACGCCAAGCACAGGAGCAGUCAGUGAACACAGGGCUGCCCUUCCCAGACCACCCUGUCAGGUUCAGGAACGCGCGAGACAGUUGGAGGCGAAUCCAGACUUUUCACUGCCCAGCAGAAGCCCCUCCCCCUAGGGCCCCAGCUCUGGCCCUGCCCUCAGGAAGUGCUCAGGGGGACCCUAAGACCCACUCACUCUGAGUGUGUGUGUGUGUGGGAGGGUGCUGGGGGUUGAACCUAGGGCACCGAGCUUGCUAAGCGCAUGUGCUCCACGGCUAAGCUCCACCCACAGCCUUCAGGCCCAGGGAAUGCUUCAAGUCUGAGUCUGGCUCACAGAUGCAUCUUAGGGCUCGUGCAGACUUCUGAGGUCUGGAGAGUGAGGGGGAGCUGCGGGGCGGGGGCAGGAGGCAGUUCUAGAGUGUUGGUGUAAGAUGAGUCCUGGUAGGCACGGCAGCCUCUUAAGACAUGAGCCGGGACAAGUCAUAGCAUCUCCGUAGUCCCCAGGACGGCACACAUGAAUGGCCAAGCCAGCCCCGAGGCAGGGCCCUGGAAGGAGCCCCACAGUUCUUCAGGGCACGUCUCAGUCUGCUUCUGCCUCCCCUCAACUGGCAGAGGCUCAGCAUCAUACCCGUGCCUGUCUCCGCUCAGGGCUGGAUGGGUGCGGGCCCCCUGCGGCGUGUGAGGCAGAGUGGGUGCUCAGGCCUUCCGCCUCCCUAUCGAUCAGCGCAGCAAGCCCUACUCACGUCAGCCGCCCGUUGAACCCAGCACAAUCCCUCAUGUCUGCAUUUAACUGCUAAUGAAAAAUAAAUGUACUGUGACCAA